AUAUUGGACAAUGGGCGAAAGCCUGAUCCAGCCAUGCCGCGUGUGUGAAGAAGGUCUUCGGAUUGUAAAGCCCUUGUAGUUGGGUGGAAGGGUUGUAGAGUAUUACGCUGCAAUUUUGACGUUACCGACAGAAUAAGCACCGUCUAUCUUCGUGCCAGCAGCCGCGGUAAUCCUAAGGGUGCAAGAGUUAAUCGGAAUUAUUUGGCGUAAAGCGCGCGUAGGUGGUUCGUUAAGUUGGAUGUGAAAGCCCCGGGCUCAACCUGGGAACUGCAUCCAAAACUGACGAGCUAGAGUACGGUAGAGGGUGGUGGAAUUUCCUGUGUAGCGGUGAAAUGCGUAGAUAUAGGAAGGAAAACCAGUGGCGAAGGCGACCACCUGGACUGAUACUGACACUGAGGUGCGAAAGCGUGGGGAGCAAACAGG
rnacentral:rRNA from 1 species